rnacentral:rRNA from 1 species
UAGGGAAUCUUCCGCAAUGGACGCAAGUCUGACGGAGCAACGCCGCGUGAGUGAAGAAGGAUUUCGGUUCGUAAAACUCUGUUGUUAGAGAAGAACAGCGCAUAGAGUAACUGUUAUGCGUGUGACGGUAUCUAACCAGAAAGCCACGGCUAACUACGUGCCAGCAGCCGCUGUAAUACGUAGGUGGCAAGCGUUGUCCGGAUUUAUUGGGCGUAAAGCGAGCGCAGGCGGUCAAUUAAGUCUGAUGUGAAAGCCCCCGGCUCAACCGGGGAGGGUCAUUGGAAACUGGUUGACUUGAGUGCAGAAGAGGAGAGUGGAAUUCCAUGUGUAGCGGUGAAAUGCGUAGAUAUAUGGAGGAACACCAGUGGCGAAGGCGACUCUCUGGUCUGUAACUGACGCUGAGGUUCGAAAGCGUGGGUAGCAAACAGG